CUGAAAAUCCGAGACAUUUCAACAGCCCAAACCCGACAGAGCUAACAGAACAAAGAGGCGAACAGAAAGAGAAGCGAAUCGGAGGGAAUUCAAUCGGGAGAAAAUGGAGGUGCCAGGAUCGUCGAAGAAGAUGAUAGCAACGCAAGCAGAGAUGGUGGAAGCGAAAGUACCAUUAUCAUACAGGGAUCAGUGCGCCCAUCUGUUGAUCCCUCUUAACAAGUGCCGUCAGUCGGAGUUCUACUUACCCUGGAAGUGCGAGGACGAGCGUCACUCGUACGAGAAGUGCGAGUAUGAGCUUGUCAUGGAACGGAUGCUUCAAAUGCAGAAGAUCCGUCAGCAGCAAAAAGGACAGCAGUCAAUUCCCCUUUUCCCUAAGACUGCCAAUGCCUAGUCAAUCCAUCAUCUAUCUAAUUGGAAGCAGAAAAUACCAAGGCUUUCAGAACACCAGAGCAUUGUCGCUACAACUUGGUGGGCAUUUUCCAUUUAAUACUGACAUCUGUUGAGUGAAAAUUUAUAUAGCGCACACUUUGCACAUCUUACUGGUCCAAUAAUGUUAUUCCGAUUUGAUGAUGUUUCUAUGCCAUCCAAUACCUGUUUCCAGUUGCUCAUAGAACAUGUGAAAAAGAGAUUUAAAUGAAACUGAUAAUACAGCUAUGUUGUCUGUGAAA